GUCUACGGCCAUACCACCCUGAACACGCCCGAUCUUGUCUGAUCUCAGAAGCUAAGCAGGGUCCGGCCGGGUUAGUAUUUGGAUGGGAGAUGCAGUAUAAA
rnacentral:rRNA from 1 species